rnacentral:rRNA from 1 species
ACUCGAUCUACUCGCAGUAUCACAGUUCUCCUCGCCUAAAUCUCCCUCCUUUCUCCCGCUCUAACCCUAAUCCGACAAUGGCCUUCGACAUCGACUCUCUUCCUCCCCUCCUCGGCCCCGACCCCGACUCCGACUCCGACUCCGACCACCUCCCCCCGGCCCCGCGCCGUGGCCGCCCUCUUCGGCCUCCACCGGCGCCGCGGGUGGAACCCUCGCCUCCGGCGCCUGCCAGGUGCGAGGCUACCCCCGCCCCGGAGGGCACCGGCGGAGCGGCCCAGCAGAGUUGGCCAGGGUUACCAAGGGGUGUGGAAUUUAACCCCAGCGACAGUGAUCUUCUAUGGCAUCUGGCUGCAGAAAUGGGGAAUGGCCUGGCUCAUCGUCAUCCAUUCAUCAGUGAAUUUAUUAAAUCUGGUGAUGAAGGUGCAAGAUUUGGCUGUACCCAUCCUCGAGAUAUGCCAGGUAUGAGGCAAGAUGGACAUGCAUUGUACUUCUUUCACAAAAAAAUAAACUUAGACAACAAUGAGAAUGACAAAGAUAUCAGCUGGCAAAAAAAUGGCCCCUCUAGAUCUAUUAUCUUGGAUGGGGGUCUACGAGGUUGCAAGGAAACAUUUGCCCUAUACACCUUCAAGAACAGCCCUCGGAGAACUGAUUGGAAACUACAUCAAUAUUAUAUCAAAAACACAAUGGAGAAUGAGGGCGAACUAGUGCUUUCAAAGGUAUUCUACAAGUCACAGAAAAGUCAUUGUGAAUGCGCUGCAAAAGCUUCUGUUCAAUCUGCACAGGAUAAUUCUGUGACUGAUGAUGAUUCCAGAGAAGAAAAAGAGGACGCACAAUUGGAAAAACUUUCUGUUAAUAUGGCUACUGAAAGUAAUUUUGUUGAAGGCAAUGGAAACAAUCAGGAACAGAUGCUGGUUGAGAUGUAUCCUGAUCAGGACAAACCAUGUUCCCUCAAACAUGUUUUGGAUACCGCAGAUGUUAAUCAUGAAAACCAAAUUAAUGAUCAGGCUGAAACUGAGCUGGAUCACAUGUCUCUUCAAGACCGCUACCGAAUCCUUCUAGCAGACAUGCGUUCUUGCUCUGCUAGGGUAUCUGCUGAAAAGUGUGCUUUGAAUGAUAUGGGAAAUUCAUCCAUGCAAAUGGAUGCUGAAACAAGUGGGCCAGUUCCCAAAAGUGAGAGUGAGGAAAUAAAUCACGAAGGAACAGCCUACAGGGAAUGUUCUGUGAAUGACAAGGAAAUUCCAGUUGAAGAUACUGAAGGUCCAGUAAAUGACAAGGCUUUUAAUUCUAGUGCUGAGCUCUUAUUAAGUCAAACACCGGCUUGUGGAGAUGAAAACGUUCAGCUGGCACCGAGAAAUUCUGGGACCUAUUUGGUUGAUGUAAAAACGGAGCCUGCAUUGGACGGUUAUGCGAUUUAUCCUUCUGAAUCUCCUGUGAAAUUUCAGCACUCAAACAACGAUGGCCUCAAGGUCUCUGGUUCUAUUCUGGAAUGUGUGCCAAAAGAUGCUGAAGACUCACUACCAUCUUUAGGAGUAAAAAGUGAACUAAGUGGGUAUGAGUUGCCUGGCUUAUGUGAGAACAGCUUUAUCAGUAGUAUGGAGCCUAUUGUGAAAAAACCUCACACCAGAACUCUGAACUGCAAUGGGGGCCUUGCACCUUGUUCUCGACAAAGGAAGAAGAGGGAUUCAAGUGAAAAGGUGCUUGAAGAAGAUGGUUACAAAAAUGAUGAGGGUAUUCCUUACCCUUCUAGGCAAAAGAGGAAGAAGAAAACUGCGACGGAUUCGAUUGAAACAGCUCUUGAAGAAGAUGCUCCAGGACUUCUACAGAUUCUUCUGGACAAAGGAAUAGUGGUCAAAGAGAUUAAACUUUAUGACGUUGUAGAAGACGAUGAAAUGCUUCCAGAUUGCACAGAAAGUGACUUUCAAGACCUUGAAAAUGUGAUUACAAAAUUGUUUCCACAAAGAACAUCCUUGUUGAAGUCCGUAGCCAAGCAUGGGAAGGGGGGGAAGGCUAUUUACUGCUUAGCUUGCUUAAUUUCUCUCAUUGAGCAGUCGCGCUAUCUUCAGUUCCGUGAUUGUCCUGUGGAGUGGGGAUGGUGCAGGGAUUUGCAAUCCUUCAUUUUUGUAUUUAAAAGCCAUAAUAGGCUAGUUCUUGAGCGUCCUGAAUAUGGUUAUGCAACUUAUUUCUUUGAAAUUCUGCAAUCAGUGCCAAUAGAAUGGCAGAUCCGAAGGAUGGUUACUGCUAUGAAGCUUAGUAGCUGUGGCAGGACCGCUCUUAUUGAAAACAGGCCACUAUUGAUCGGUGAAGAUUUAUCAGAAGGUGAGGCGAAGGUUUUGCAAGAAUAUGGUUGGAUACCAAACACUGGGCUUGGGACGUUGCUGAACUACCGCGAUCGGGUGGUUCAUGACAGGUGGAACGAGAAAUAUAGCACAGAUUGGAGGAUGAAGAUUGGAAAGCUUCUAAUGAAUGGUUAUUCUGAGGGGGAAUUGAUCAUAACUCAUGUUCCACUGAAUUCAGAAGAAAUCAAGUUGGAGAAUCCUUGAUGAGAUCUCCACUGUAUACAUGGGCUUGUGGUGGCGUCCAUAGACAACCUUCCUCUCGGUGGGUGUUGUAAAGUUGUAGUGUUCACCAUGGAUAUGUCAACAUGCUGUGGGUAUUCAUGUGCACCUGUAUGUAUGACAUAGUGUUCGUUUAGCAGGCGCUGCAAAGAUGGGGUAAGGCCAGCAGUCGCCAUGUGAAUAACCUUAUUAUGUCAUAGGAACAUGGAGAAGGCUGCUAGCGAGUACUUAGCUAGUCUCAUCGAAACUGAAAUGGUGUACUGUAGCGUAUGGGUCCUGGAAUAAGUGAACAGUACUGUAUCUGCUGUAACAAGAAGAUGGUUUAUCCAUGAUGACAUUAACUUUUAAGUGUUUUGGUAUCCUUGUUGAAAUGGAAAUGUUGAUCAUC